AGCAGCCGCGGUAAUUCCAGCUCCAAUAGCGUAUAUUAAAGUUGUUGCAGUUAAAAAGCUCGUAGUUGAAUUUCGGGGUCAGUAGAUUGGUCAUGCCUCCGGUAUGUACUGGUCUUACUGGCUCCUCCUUCCUGAUGAACCGUAAUGCCAUUAAUUUGGUGUUGCGGGGAGACUGGACUGUUACUUUGAAAAAUUGAGUGUUUAAAGCAGGCUAACGCUUGAAUACAUUAGCAUGGAAUAAUGAAAUAGGACGUUCGAUCUUAUUUGUUGGUUUCUAAGAUUGACGUAAUGAUUAAUAGGAUAGUUGGGGCAUUAGAUUCAAUUGUCAGA
rnacentral:rRNA from 1 species